rnacentral:lncRNA from 1 species
GCUAAAUGUCCCCCGUUUUACCACCUGUGAGGGUUAGAGGAUUGCCUAGCACGGAAUGCUAGGUAAGAUACAGUUGCAAGUUGGCAGACGGGUCAACACCUCCAGCCUUUACACAUCUCUCCUACCCACCUUGACUUUGGUCACCAGUUGGCAAAUUGGCCAAUUUGGCACCAUGGGCCUUUUGGUCACUUUCUCCCCUGCCAAAACUGGAGUUAUGGGAACACACAGACACAGAUAAAAAGCCGCAUACACACACACGGACACACAUGUACACAGGCACAGACGGACACACGCACGGACACAGACACGGACACACAUUGACCACUCUCCCUCCCCUCCCCCCCCGUGCCAUUUGGGAAUAUUGGGAUGAGACAUUCCUCUGGGAUCCGUGAGAAAAGUUUGACUUGUCCUCUUGAUGCCUAAUCAAGACCGGAGCGUGUGUCUGCGUUAGGGUUCUCCCUUUCGGGUUCCCCACCCACUUUCCUGCCGCAGCUCCGCGUUUCUGCCUCCGCCGGGGAGCGGAAAGAGCUGGAUGGAUUAGCCGCUGCCUUUUGUGCAGAAGAUCUUCCCCGGCAGGCAGCAUCGAUCCUGGUAGCUUUCGCUUUGCAGGCAGCAGCUACGCUGAAUAGGAGCGUGUGCCAGAGAGCAGCCUGCGCAUGGCUGGGGCUUGGGAAGGAGAUAGACUGUUAUCUAUCCGGUCAAGGUCCUGUGCUCUACCCUAACUCGGUGCUUCACUGGAGAUGGAAAAAGCACUCUCGUCACUGGGUCUAUUUGUAUUACCAGAAGAGUGAAGCAACAAGUACCUUUGGCUGAGCACAGUGUGAGUCAUGCUAGAAGCAAAUAUUCCAAACCCUUCUUAGUGGUAAGCAAGAUCAAACGCUUCCCAAACAUAUCUCUCCAACCAUAAGCUGCAGGAUACUUGCCUGAAGGCACUAAACCUGGGUUCUAGGCUCAAUUUUAGGGAGGGAUGGGUGAAUGGAAAAACAAAUUCACUCCCUAGUUGGAAAAGUAGGUCCAAAGAG